CGCGUGGCCUUUGACUAACGGUUGAUUCCUAGCCCAGGGUCACAAACGAAAUGAUCCAGGGAGGUGAUUUACAUUCCUAGCACAGUUCAUAGAGAAAACCAAAGGCCAAGCUACAUGGAAUGAAAAUCUCCGAUUUGGGCUUAUCUCAACGUCACAUGUAACAUACAGACAGCACCAACGCAGAUGCUGGUCCUUCCUUUACCAGACUCCCGUGGACCUGCAACGGUCGUUGUCGCUUUGGAGGAAUCGUCUUCAAGCUAAGGCCUGCCUGUGUUUGGUGAGCUCUGUCCCUGGAGAGUCUCUGCCUAGCAGGAGAAGGGGCCAGGAGUCUCCGGAACCUUAA
rnacentral:lncRNA from 1 species